UGAUGAACAUUACACUCAUAUGGACUAACUAGUUUGCCAAGACUUUGAUUCAUAUGUAGGGGUGGUACUGGAUCACGAUCCAAAUAUUUCUUCAUCUGCCUCGGAACCCUAGCUGUGGCACGCACCCAGGUUGUCGUCCUCCCCACCGCACCACCACCACGGCCACUGCUGCGACGAUGACGAGGGUGACCGUCGAUGCCUGUCUGCUGCCACCUGACCAGUACGGUCGCGUGCCCGUCGACCCGGAUCCGUACGCCCAGCUUUCGUGACACCGAUGCGGCACCCAAGGAGGGUGCCUCGCGGGGGACCCAGACCUCCACCUCUUCGUCGUCUUCAAUGGCUGCGCUAUCUGUGUUAACAUGUGUGGUGCACGAUGCCUAAAUGCUUGCAGUGAUAAAAAUGUGAUAGUUCUCCUCUUGAUGACAUAUUUGUGGUUUCCAUAAUAUGUGUAAAUUAAAUACAAAGGUAGUGAUGUGGCGUCUCUGUUGCUGCAAUUGCCAAGUGGAUGAAACAGAUCGGUGUGAGAGUCAUGUCAAGGCCACAACCAACAAAAUUGACGGGGUGACGAAGGGUUUGAGGGAUUCUGCUACUGCAAAAGUCGAGCCACACGAUGAUGCUCCCCCUAUCGAUGUCGAUGUUCUAUCCUUGGAUGAUCUGAUAAAAAAUUGUUGACUUUGGUUCAAGAGCCUUGAUAGGUGAAGGUAUUUAUGGGACAUUGUACUAUGCAACUCUUGGUAAUGUAACAAAAAUGACAGUAAAGAAACUUUACUGAAAAUGAACCCAUUGUCGAGUUCUUGGUCGAGGUUGGUGUUGCCAUUGAUUAUUGAUCACGGGGGUUACUACCAAACAAUGAUGCUUACUUCUGAUACCAAGUCUCAUUGGUUUCAAGGAUGACACAUGAAAACUUUGUUGACAUGUUGGGGGACCGUAUCAAGCGUAAUCUUCGCAUAGUAUCCUACGAAUUCGCGACCAUGGGUUCUCUCCAUGAUGUUCUACAUGGAAGAAAAGUAUUUCAAGGUGCUCGACCUGGCCCAACGUUUGGUUGGAUGCAGCGAGUGCAAAUUGUUGUUGACGCUACAAAAGGACUCGAUAUUUUCAUGGGAAAGUUCAUCAGUCCAUUGUCCAUAGGGAUAAUAGAACAAUUAAUAUCAUCUUGUUUGAAGGCUUCAAGGCAAAGAUAGUAGACUUCAGAUAUGGCUGUCCACUUGCACUUGAACUCACAUCAAGCCUUCGGAUAUCAUGCCGCACAAUAAUAAUCCUUUUUUUAAAGUAACUAUUUGUGUUACUUAACUUUAGUUGUGCUUUCUGCUUUUGCAUGUAUUGUCUGAUUAGUUUUCGAUUAGGACAACAAGUUGGAUGGUGUUUGUUUCUUAAUUGUGUGAUUAUUUUUUUAAAAGCAUGCCUUUUUAUUACUGAAGUUAAGCAUAAAAGGAACACAUUAUGAUUUGUUUUCCCCUUCGAUAGAAUUUCUUAUGAUGUUAGAUGCAGGCAAUCUCGUUGUACAAGCAGGUGCUAGAAGCAAACAUUUUGUUUGGUCCAUAAAGUACGCAAACAUUUACUAUAUUGCAAUGUGGUAUUAACUAUAUUCAGUGAAAGCCCCAUUUAUGUUGGGCAAAGGCUUUGGAACCCCUCCAACACCCAAACCCCUCACCAACGUCACCUCUAUGACCAAAAGUAGUAGAGAAAAAAGAUUAGGACACUGGCAUAACUGCAAUGACAUAUUUUAAAUAAAAACUAGAGUCUAAAUCCUGCUGAAUAGUUGCUUUAGGAACAGCUCUAGGUGCUCAAAUGAUGCACAUUGCCCUUGGUCCUUGUUGUUUUCCUUAUAACUCAAUAAAUGUCAACUUUUUGCUUGUUCCUGAGCUCUAAUCACAGCUUGUACAAUUAGCUUGGCUAAACUGAUUGCCUUGUGUGCAAGGAGGCGUUAUUUUUACUAAUAUCAUCAUUUAACUAUUGCGUGCGUUGGGUUAAUUUGGUUCAUUGAUUCUUUUUCUUUUUUAAGCAAUCAAGCUUAAAUGAUUAGCUUCAUAGAUUAGGCAAUCCGUUCUGAACAAAGUUUUGCAAAAGGCCAACAUCACAUUGUCAUUCUGUCAUACACUUCAUACAGGAAAGCAUUUCGCUAGAUCAUGUUGCAUUCCUUUUUUUGUUUAAUUUAAGUUGGCGGCAUAGUAGCAGUGCUUUUAGCUGGAGUUUCUGAAAUUGCUAAGGCUUCAUUUUUCACAUGUCCUUUCUUCCACAUUUAUAGCUAUGGAACAAACUGUGUCCUUUCUUCCACGUUUAUAAGAUUGAUUGAUUAGCAAAAAAACAAAGAACACUUCAAUAAAUAUAUUAUAUAUGCGCUUGUCAUGAAUUCCCGUUGUAUAUAAUGCCUAAACAGUACUACUUGCUUAAUUAGGGCGAUGAGGCGGCUAAACUAAAUAGAGUGGGGUUAAGUCCCUAAUUGCCUUGCCUGCAGUUGACUUGCAACAUUUUCCCUGGGAUGUCCAUUUCAAGCCCCACAAGCUCUAGAAGCUUAAAGCCAUCCAUGUCUGGCAUGUGCACAUCGCUGAUACAAGAUCAAACAAGUUCUUGUUUUGACUCAACAUGGUCAAGAUCACAACAGUCUGAUUCAUCGUUGUGACUGCAAAUACGAAACAAUGUGUCUUACAGGUGAGUAGCUAUAGCAAAAGCCAGAACAAGAAUUUGUACAUAUUGCAUGAGAAACUACCUAACUACUUGUAGUAAAAGCUCCCAAAAAAUGCAGCAUUCAGUUACAUGGUGAUAGUGUGAUCAUCAAUUUAGUGCUUAAAUAUUUUGGCCAUUUGAUGCAAACAAAUCUAUGGUUGUGGGCAUAUAAAAGUAUAAUCUGCAAUAAAACUUAGCAAAUGGUUUAUCAAGUAGAAAUAUUUGUUAAUGGUAGUAGAAUCAAACGAGGUACCUGUUUUUUGGCUGAUCUCCAUACACAACACUUCUAUGAACUUGGCUAGAGAAGAAAUAAUAAUAUACAACUGGAGUAGAGAAAAAUCCAUUAAGAUAGAAGCACGGUAAGUUGCAGUUUAUGAGUUCAAUUCUAAGCAAAUAAGAAAACAAUGGCAAAUCUUGAGCAACGCCAACCUUCAAUAAAACCUGGCAUCAGCAAGAGGGUAUAAUAGCAGGGGGCUAGGAACUGUCGGAUCCAUCUAUAGCCUAUCCUGCAUAAAUUUAACAAGUUAUUACAAUAAACUGGCCAAAAGAAUGUAGGCUCGUACAAGGUUGUCUGAAUACACUUCCAAUCAACUUAUAUCUAGAAAAUAUCACUUAGAACUUAGAUGAUGAUAAAUAUAAAAUGUCACACAAAUUGUCUGUUUUUUCAACACGAGCAUUCUUUCUACUCAGACAAAUUUGCAAAUGUCAUUGAGCACGUAGGUGCAACAGGAGAGCAAGCAAAGCACAAGCAAAAGUGCAAAAUUGUCCGAAGUCCAAGUAGAGGUUGCAGUACCCCAAGCAAAUGCACGAGUUCCCAACAAUUCAAAUUAGCACAUUGAUGCAUCAUACAUUGAUCCAUUGAUGCAUCUUCACCAGGAGAGCAGCGGAGUUGAUGCGUACCCAAGGUAGCGGAGGAGGAUCAGCCAUCAGGGUGAGCCUCGUGAGUAGGAAGGUCUCGGCACGGCCCGACCGACUUCGCGACGUGGACCACGGCGUGGAGUGCGCACAACACAACAUGCUGACUUGUACUUGUUUUGCUUAAACAAUAAACCAUUUCUCAAUAAUUUUCCCAUUAUACUGCUUAUGAAAUGUUCAUUGUGCACAUGAUUUCCUGUACAUCGGUUAGUGCUUAUUUUCAAACGUUAGUACCACUCCUUGUGUUACCAUGGUAUCAAGAUGAUGUGAAUGGCUAUUUAUCUUCUCUUCAAAUUAGUUAUUAGGAACAAAAUGAGCUUUAGUGAAUAGUUAUGUCUUGGAUUUUCUCCCCAUUCAAUAGACUUAGACUUCUCAUUGUUCGGCCUCAGCAGCACACCUUGGUGUUUUAUCAGGCCUCCAAGCCGUCCCUCCCUCUAGCUGCUUCCCGCCAAGCCUGAUGCUCACAAGUUUGCUGUAAUUCCUCAUGCCAGCUGAGAUCUUGCUCUGGAGCAAGUUGUUUGAGAUGUCAAGAUAUCAUAGCCGGUGCAGACUGCUGGCGCUUGAUGAUUGAAAGAAGUUGAAACGGCAUGGAUGCAGUGCCUUCGUUUGCUACUAGCACAAAGAUCUGAACCAAGUAUAUUUGUAUGUAUAUCAACAAGUUGGUUGCAACUACCUUGUAAAUUGAUCUAUCUUCUUUGGCUGAA